AAGCUCAGGCCUUUCCUGGCAUCCUGGUCUCCUGCACUGAGCUGUGUGAGUGCUUCUGCCCAGGCAGGCCACUUGGCAUUGACCGGCAUAGAUGGUGACCCUGGAGGAAAACUUGUGUUGGGCCCACUGUCACUGGGCCAAUGUCAGUCAGCCAGGUGCCCAGCCCCUGGUGCACUGAAGCUUGGGCCCUUCUGGCACCCUUGGCUCCUGCACUGAGCUGUGUGAGCUCUUCUGCCCAAGUGGUCCCCGCGGCCUUGAGCGGCAUAGAUGGUGAGCCUGGAGGAAGAUGUGUGGGACCCGCAGGCCGAGGGCCGGUGUCUCUCAGCCAGGUGCUCAGCUCCCAGUGGGCUGAAAC